rnacentral:rRNA from 1 species
UACAGAGGUCUCAAGCGUUGUUCGGAUUCAUUGGGCGUAAAGGGUGUGUAGGUGGCGCCGUAAGUCGGGUGUGAAAUUUCGGAGCUUAACUCCGAAACUGCAUUCGAUACUGCGGUGCUUGAGGACUGGAGAGGAGACUGGAAUUCAUGGUGUAGCGGUGAAAUGCGUAGAUAUCGUAAGGAAGACCAGUGGCGAAGGCGGGUCUCUGGACAGUUCCUGACGCUGAGGCACGAAGGCCAGGGGAGCAAACAGG